CACGGCACCCACCUGGUCUUCUAUUUAUACACCUCUUUAUCCUCUUUUCUCCAUCAAACCCUAGCAGAAGUACCAGUACUGAUGAUCACGACAAGACAAGUCCCUUCCUUUCCAUUUACCCUCAUAGCAGUAGUGCGCAUUUUCUUAUCAUGUGCACCCCCAUCAGUUGAAGCUGCCAGCAUGAUCUUAAACUUUCUCCUUUGCUGAGGAAAGAUCAGAUCAUGGGGCAGUUUCACCUGUUGUUGGCCGCACCAGUAACCCUAAUUCGGCCCUCACAAACCCUAUCUUACAUGUUUUUGUUUUUUUACUUUUUCUUUUCCUUGCAUGAUCAAUCCCUAGAAAAAGGUGCAUGUAUAUGUAAUCUUCUCGUCCAUGAUUUGAAAUCGUACCAGGUUUCGAUGGUUUUUAAUUUCUAAAUAUUUCAGUGUACAAGUACCUGUACUGGUUUCUGUAUAGAUUAUUGUGCUUCAUUUUCUUUAUUAUGGGAAAUUCGACAGGAACAUGUUAAGUGCUUCUUCUUGUUAGGGUUUUCAGAGACAGAAAUUCUACUUGGGGAUUGUAGGGUUUUGACUGACAAGAGUUUCCGCUUCUCCUGGCUCCUUAGAUCUACACGUUUAAUGCAGAUCUCCCCCAGUGAUUUGGCGAUUGAGCAUUGCUUGAUGCCGCAGUACUGCUUUUGUUAAGUAAUAAUGGCUAAGCAUAAGCAUCUCUCAUCCAGAUAUAUGCUGCGCUGAUCUCCUAAUAUGUGGAGAUGAGGAUCAUCACUGGAAUAGUACUCAACUUGUCACAAAUGAAGGGUUAUUCUCAGUUCAGCCUUUACCUAGCUAGCUAGCUAGUUGGUUCGUUGUGGAUGCCAUAUAUGUGACUGUGCUAGCUUUUACAAUUUACCUUUACAGUUGCGGUUUCAUGCUCUCGUAUUAUUGUAUAUAUAAUUAAUUCCCUCAAGCCUAUGGAUAGACAAAAAGAAUUAGAACAAGAUGAAGUUGAUGAUGAUGAUGAUGUACUACUGAAUAAACCUUUCACUUUUAAGUA